GCUCUCCUUUGGGGCGGUGCAGUUAUGUCAUUGAUCAUGCUCUCCAGAAACAAUCGCUUCACCAAUAUACCGUGAAACCUCAAUAUUCAGCUUGAAAUUCCUGCACUCCUUAGAAAGUGAAUGGGAGAGCAAGCUUGCAACCAGCCUCCUUUACGAAUGAUCAGCGUUUAUACUGUCUCCAUUUGAAACACAACUGAUGAACAAUCAAACUGAUAUUGCUGGGAGGUUGAAAACCAUGUUGAGCU